GUCCUGGCCCUAAACGAUGAGUGCUUGGUGUGGCGGGUAUCGAUCCCCGCCGUGCCGAAGCUAACGCGUUAAGCACUCCGCCUGGGGAGUACGGUCGCAAGGCUGAAAACUCAAAGGAAUUGACGGGGGCCCGCACAAGCGGUGGAGCAUGUGGUUCAAUUCGACGCAAACGCGAAGAACCUUACCCAGGCUUGAACUGCAGUUGACCAUUCAUGAAAGUGAACUUCCGCAAGGACAACUGUAGAGGUGCUGCAUGGCUGUCGU
rnacentral:rRNA from 1 species